UGUUUCCACUGGAAGUGCCAUGAACAAUGGCUGAGAUUAAAAUAGUGAUUUUAAAAUUCCCGGACCUGAUCCAGAUAAUGCUGGCGUAGGAAAGUGGCACGUAUUCAUG
rnacentral:ncRNA from 2 species